rnacentral:lncRNA from 1 species
GACUAUAAACUCAUUUUAUUAUGCUUUUGAAAUAAGAAAAUAUUAUCAUAAAUAUGUGAUCUAUUAGUGAAGUCACAAUCUGAAAAAAAAAAAAAGUCAAAUGGUACAGUGUAUCUGCAGAAGUUACAUAUUUCUUUUGCUUUUUUUAACUCAAUUUCAAAGUAGAACUUGCAGUGAUAUAAAGAAAUAUUUAAGAUGUAAAAUCAUCCCACCACAAUUUUGUUCUUGAUUCCACAAAACAAACACAUCAUUCUCAUGAAUCUCUCCAUUUUAAAAUAAACAGUAUAGGCACAUGGAACGUGACAGUAAAAUUUUGUAUAGAUGACAAUGGUAACCUCUAAAAUCUACAUUUUCCUUACUGGUUUUAUAAAAAUGCUGCUCCAAAAAGAAAAAUAAAAUACAAAUGUAUGCCUGUAUAAAAUCAGAAUAUCCCAAAUAUUUUAUACAAAUUUUUAAAAGCUCUGAUCUCUAUGCUCAUUUUUCAUGAAUAUUUAUAAUACUUUAGAGAAAUUACAUUGCAGAACAAGAUAAACAUAAUAUUAUUGUGACCAUCAUAGGAAAAAACAUGUAUAAGAAUAUUUAUAACUCUUCAUAUUUCAAACAAUCUUUAGGUUUGAAGAUUUAAGAAAUAACAUUUAAUAUAAAGUGUUAUUCCAAACACAUACAACUUCAUUUUAACUUUGACUGUUUACAGAUAUUUUCCAAACAUUGCUUUUAAAUGGCAAAUGACAAAGAAAGUGGUUUCACAACUAAAUCUUCAAACUAAGUAUAAAAAUAACAGGAAACAUUCAAAUUUCUCUUUGGAAAACAUUUAUGAGAUACCAGCUUUCUGCUAUCAAAUCAAGUCAGCAUUUCAUUCUGAAAGCACUG